rnacentral:rRNA from 1 species
CAUGUAGGCGGACUGUUAAGUCUGGUGUGAAAGCCCGGGGCUCAACCCCGGAAGUGCAUUGGAUACUGGCAGUCUUGAGUAGGGGAGAGGAAAGUGGAAUUCCGAGUGUAGGAGUGAAAUCCGUAGAUAUUCGGAGGAACACCAGUGGCGAAGGCGGCUUUCUGGACCAAUACUGACGCUGAGAUGCGAAAGCGUGGGGAGCAAACA